UACAGAGGUGGCAAGCGUUGUCCGGAAUUACUGGGCGUAAAGGGCGCGUAGGCGGCCUUGUGAGUCAGACGUGAAAUCCCCAGGCUUAACUUGGGAACUGCGUCUGAUACUACAAGGCUGGAGUUCGGGAGAGGGAUGUGGAAUUCCAGGUGUAGCGGUGAAAUGCGUAGAUAUCUGGAGGAACACCGGUGGCGAAGGCGGCAUCCUGGACCGAAACUGUCGCUGAUGCGCGAAAGCCAGGGGAGCAAACGGG
rnacentral:rRNA from 1 species